GAUGAACGCUAGCGGCAGGCUUAAUACAUGCAAGUCGAGGGGCAGCAUGAUUGUAGCAAUACAAUUUAUGGCGACCGGCAAACGGGUGCGGAACACGUACACAACCUUCCAACACGUGGGGGAUAGCAUAGAGACAUUUGGUUUAAUACCCCGUAACAUAGCUAUGUGGCAUAACAUUGCUAUUAUAGAUUUUUCGUCAGUUGAUGGGUGUGCGUCUGAUUAGAUAGUUGGCGGGGUAACGGCCAUCCAAGUCUACGAUCAGUAGCUGAUGUGAGAGAAUGAUCAGCCACACGGGCACUGAGACACGGGCCCGACUCCUACGGGAGGCAGCAGUAAGGAAUAUUGGACAAUGGACGCAAGUCUGAUCCAGCCACGCCGCGUGAAGGAUUAAGGUCCUCUGGAUUGUAAACUUCUUUUAUAAGGGACGAAAAAAGGCUUUUCUAAGUCGUCUGACGGUACCUUAUGAAUAAGCACCGGCUAACUCCGUGCCAGCAGCCGCAGUAAAAC
rnacentral:rRNA from 1 species